AAGCCUGUCAGGGAAAAAAAGAACGCUUAAAAAGGACAGAAUAUUGACCAAGACAGAAAUUACAUUGCCAAUUUCCCCUCAGAACGGGGUUUCCUCAGACCACAGGGUCGGGGUCAGGGGGAUGACUCACAUCCUGACAUACGCUCACUUGAGAAAACGCUCACCUGCUCCUGAAUCUCAGGAUCCACAUCUGAGAGGCAGUUCUGGCAGAGUUCACAGAAGGCCACCAUCCUGCCCUUCAAAUUCAACAGCUGCUUCUGUGGAGACAAUGGCUUCAGCAGGGAGAAAUGAAGGAAGACACGGACUCCUCCAUUCCCGUUCCCCCUACUCAGACCCAUAUUCACCUGGGAAGCAUCUGAUCCAGAUACGUGGGUUAGUGUCCAGAGAAUGGAAAAAUAGACAAGAGUCAAGGCUGGUAAGAUCACCUGUAACAACCAAAUGUGACAAAAUGAGGGUCAGGAGUAAGGGGCAGGUGGGGAGAGAGAGACAGACAGGCAGAUACACACAAAGGAGGGAAAAAAGAAAAAAGCAGACAGAAGAGAGAAAAUGAGAUUAGGAGAGACCCAAUUCCUUUUCCGGUAGAAAAAAACUGAUUCUGGAAGUCUUCAGAGGAUUCUAUCCUGAGUAGGAAUGCCACCUCUCCCUAAUUUAUUUAAAGUCUCCUAGACCCCCUCAAUAUUAUCCUUGACUCCCCAGAAACCAGAGAGAAUAGCUGUUUUCAGGUGCUGUAAAGUACAGUCACCUUCCAAGAUUGGGAUGGAAGGAACGACACACAUGAUCAAGAUCUCUCUCUCUCUCAUCUGCUCCACAGCCCCGGGACUCGAACUGCAUAUGUGGUGGCCACCUAGGACACAGCCCUUAAAACUCCUCUCCUGCCUCCAACUUGUCUACUUGCCUGUGCCAGCUCCCAUCCUUCUCUACCUGAAGGUCUUACGCCUGAGAGCCCAACAGCUCCUUUUCAUACAUCACCUCACUCUCCACAAAAAAGGACAGCAGAAGGUGGAAGAAAGUCCUCUGGGAGCGUGGACUUCGGCGUCGCUCUCUCUCACCCACCGUUCUUGUCUCACACUCAGGGCAGAAAAGCCUGGUAGAGGGGACACAGGGAAAGGGCAUAGCACGGAAGGAAGUAAGCAGUGCAACAGUUACCAUGGAAGGAAGAAACAGUUCAAGGAGAGGAUUAAAGAAAAAAGAGGCACAGAGCUAAGGAAAGCCCCAAGGUGUUGAGAAGGGAAGGAGACACCAAGGGAGACUUUAUAGGUAUGGGGAGCCCUUAGAAAGAGCACCAGCUGAUGAUGGAGAGAAAACAACAGAUGAUGGUGUUAAAGGAACAAACGAAAA